rnacentral:tRNA from 1 species
GCCUGGGUGGCUCAGUCGGUUGAGCGCCUGACUUCGACUCGGGUCAUGAUCUCGCGGUUUGUGGGUUCCAGUCCCAUAUUGGGCU